rnacentral:rRNA from 1 species
GACGAACGCUGGCGGCGUGCUUAACACAUGCAAGUCGAACGAAGAGCGAUGGAAGCUUGCUUCUAUCAAUCUUAGUGGCGAACGGGUGAGUAACGCGUAAUCAACCUGCCCUUCAGAGGGGGACAACAGUUGGAAACGACUGCUAAUACCGCAUACGAUCUAAUCUCGGCAUCGAGGAUAGAUGAAAGGUGGCCUCUACAUGUCAGCUAUCACUGAAGGAGGGGAUUGCGUCUGAUUAGCUAGUUGGAGUGGUAACGGCGCACCAAGGCGAUGAUCAGUAGCCGGUCGGAGAGGAUGAACGGCCACAUUGGGACUGAGACACGGCCCAGACUCCUACGGGAGGCAGCAGGGGGGAAUCUUCCGCAAUGGACGAAAGUCUGACGGAGCAACGCCGCGGGAGGGAUGACGGCCGUCGGGUUGUAAAGCUCUGUUAAUCGGGACGAAAGGCCUUCUUGCGAACAGUUAGAAGGAUUGACGGUACCGGAAUAGAAAGCCACGGCUAACUACGUG